rnacentral:rRNA from 1 species
GACGAACGCUGGCGGCAUGCCUAACACAUGCAAGUCGAGCGAGCAGAUCCCUUCGGGGUGAAGCUAGCGGCGGACGGGUGAGUAACACGUGGGCAACCUGCCUCAUAGAGGGGAAUAGCCUUCCGAAAGGAAGAUUAAUACCGCAUAAGAUUGUAGCUUCGCAUGAAGCAGUAAUUAAAGGAGCAAUCCGCUAUGAGAUGGGCCCGCGGCGCAUUAGCUAGUUGGGGAGGUAACGGCUCACCAAGGCGACGAUGCGUAGCCGACCUGAGAGGGUGAUCGGCCACAUGGGGACUGGGACACGGCCCAGCAUCCUACGGGAGGCAGCAGUGGGGAAUAUUGCACAAUGGGGGAAACCCUGAUGCAGCAAUGCCGCGUGAGUGAUGACGGCCUUCGGGUUGUAAAGCUCUGUCUUUGGGGACGAUAAUGACGGUACCCGAGGAGGAAGCCACGGCUAACUACGUGCCAGCAGCCGCCGUAA